rnacentral:rRNA from 1 species
CUGCGAGUGAAGCGGGAAAAGCUCAAAUGUAAAAUCUGAUAGUCUUUUGGCUGUCCGAGUUGUAAUCUAGAGAAAUGUUAUCCGUGCUGGACCAUGUAUAAGUCUCCUGGAAUGGAGCGUCAUAGAGGGUGAGAAUCCCGUCUUUGACAUGGAACUACCAGUACAUUGUGAUGCGCUCUCAAAGAGUCGAGUUGUUUGGGAAUGCAGCUCAAAAUGGGUGGUAAAUUCCAUCUAAAGCUAAAUAUUGGCGAGAGACCGAUAGCGAACAAGUACCGUGAGGGAAAGAUGAAAAGAACUUUGGAAAGAGAGUUAAACAGUACGUGAAAUUGUUGAAAGGGAAACGCUUGAAGUCAGUUACAUUGAUCAGAGAUCAAUCCUGCUAUUAUUGCAGGGUGUACUAUCUGGUUAAUGGGUCAGCAUCAAUUUUGACUGUUGGAAAAAAGCAAAGGGAAUGUAGCAUCCCUGUUGAUGUGUUAUAGCCCUUGGUUGUAUACAACAGUUGGGAUUGAGGAACUCAGCAUGCCGCAAGGCCGGGUUUUAAAACCACGUUCAUGCUUAGGAUGCUGGCAAAAUGGCUUUAAUCGACCCGUCUUGAAACACGGACCAAGGAGUCUAACAUACCUGCGAGUGUUUGGGUGGAAAACCCGAGCGCGUAAUGAAAGUGAAAGUUGAGAUCCCUGUCAUGGGGAGCAUCGACGCCCAGACCAGAACUUUUGGGACGGAUCUGCGGUAGAGCAUGUAUGCUGGGACCCGAAAGAUGGUGAAAUAUGCCUGAAUAGGGUGAAGCCAGAGGAAACUAUGGUGGAGGCUCGUAGCGAUUCAGACGUGCAAAUCGAUCGUCGAAU